CCAGAACCAUAUGAAUAUUAAGGUUUAUACUAAUUANACCAGCUAGCCUUGUGCUUUCAGGUCUUAACAGUAUAUACUAACUAUUUUUUAUCUACAUUCAUUAAUUAACUUUAUUUUAUAUGCUUAACGGCGAUAAGGUAUUGUUUAAGAUAUGGAUUAAGGUAUGAUUUGGAAAUUAAUAUUAUGUGGUGUCACAAAAUCGGAGGCCCCGACUGUUUACUUAAAACACAGCUUUCUGCUACGAAUAAUAUCUGUGUAUAGAAAGCGAAUUUUGCCCAAUGCCAUUAAUAUAAAGUUGAUAAGCGCAUAGCGUAUUUAUUAGCUGAAGGGGUGGUCAAUGGCGGUCUUAUCUAUGAGGAUCCUAAGGUAGCAAAAUUAAUUG
rnacentral:rRNA from 1 species